rnacentral:ncRNA from 1 species
CUUACCCGGGGAGAUCUCCCGAAUGAGGUUAGGGAGAAGUCAGCAGAAGCCGUAUUAGCGAAGAAGCCUUGGAAACAAGGUGGAGCGAAGGGC